rnacentral:rRNA from 1 species
UACGGAGGGAGCUAGCGUUGUUCGGAAUUACUGGGCGUAAAGCGCGCGUAGGCGGCUUUGUAAGUUAGAGGUGAAAGCCCGGAGCUCAACUCCGGAACUGCCUUUAAAACUGCAUCGCUUGAAUCCAGGAGAGGUGAGUGGAAUUCCGAGUGUAGAGGUGAAAUUCGUAGAUAUUCGGAAGAACACCAGUGGCGAAGGCGGCUCACUGGCCCGAUACUGACGCUGAGGCACGAAAGCGUGGGGAGCAAACAGGG